rnacentral:rRNA from 1 species
UACGGGGGGGGCAAGCGUUGUUCGGAAUUACUGGGCGUAAAGGGCUCGUAGGCGGCCAACUAAGUCAGACGUGAAAUCCCUCGGCUUAACCGGGGAACUGCGCCUGAUACUGGUUGGCUUGAAUCCGGGAGAGGGAUGUGGAAUUCCAGGUGUAGCGGUGAAAUGCGUAGAUAUCUGGAGGAACACCGGUGGCGAAGGCGGCAUCCUGGACCGGUAUUGACGCUGAGGAGCGAAAGCGUGGGGAGCAAACAGG